GGAGGAAUACCCAAGUCUGGCUGAAGGGAUCGGUCUUGAAAACCGACAGGAGUGUAAAAGCUCGCAGGGGUUCGAAUCCCCUUUCCUCCUCCA
rnacentral:tRNA from 2 species